CGCGACUGCGGCGGUGGUGGGGGGGAGCCGCGGGGAGCGCCGAGGGCCGGUCGGCCGCUCCGGGUGCCGCGCGGGGCCGCCUUCGCGCUCGGAGGCUGCCGGCGGUGAGACCCCCGCGUGUGUGUCCCGGCCGCGGUCGGCUGCGCCCGAGGGGUCCCGUGGCGUCCCCUUCCCCGCCGGCCGCCUUUCUCGCG
rnacentral:miRNA from 1 species